rfam:Oryza sativa (indica cultivar-group) chromosome 2, whole genome shotgun sequence.
AAAAAGGGCNAACNCGCGGGUUUGCGUGCCUACGUNUUGACUGUCCGUCUUAUAUGAAUUUUUUUAUAAUUAGUAUUUUUAUUAUUGUUAGAUGAUAAAACAUGAUGAAUACUUUAUGCGUGACUUAUCUUUUUAAUUUUUUUCAUAUUUUUUUUAAAUAAGACGGACGGUCAAACAUGGACCACGGAAACCAUAGUUUGUCUUUUU